GGCGGCAGGCCUAACACAUGCAAGUCGAGCGGCAGCGCGGGGGCAACCCUGGCGGCGAGCGGCGGACGGGUGAGGAACACAUCGGAAUCUACCCUGUCGUGGGGGACAACGUAGGGAAACUUACGCUAAUACCGCAUGAUCUGGAGACAGCAAAGCGGGGGACUCGCAAGGGCCUCGCGCGAUGGGAUGAGCCGAUGUCCGAUUAGCUAGUUGGCGGGGUAAGAGCCCACCAAGGCGACGAUCGGUAGCUGGUCUGAGAGGACGACCAGCCACACUGGAACUGAGACACGGUCCAGACUCCUACGGGAGGCAGCAGUGGGGAAUAUUGGACAAUGGGGGCAACCCUGAUCCAGCCAUGCCGCGUGGGUGAAGAAGGCCUUCGGGUUGUAAAGCCCUUUCGUACGGGAAGAAAAGUCGUCGGUUAAC
rnacentral:rRNA from 1 species